rnacentral:other from 1 species
AUUACCCUGGGGCUCGCGUGAUUGCCCAGAGUGUUAUUGAGCCAAUGCUCUGAUAAAGGGCUGGUGCUCCAGCGGAUCGGUGAGCAAGCCCGGCCUGGCCGGGAAGCCUGAAGGUCCGCGAGACGUGCCCACCUGGACAUGCCAGGUUCAAAACAUACAGGCAACACGGCUUCCCGGGGAUUAA